AAAACGACUCUCGGCAACGGAUAUCUCGGCUCUCGCAUCGAUGAAGAACGUAGCGAAAUGCGAUACUUGGUGUGAAUUGCAGAAUCCCGUGAACCAUCGAGUCUUUGAACGCAAGUUGCGCCCUAAGCCUUUUGGCCGAGGGCACGUCUGCCUGGGUGUCACAAA
rnacentral:rRNA from 1 species